GGGGGGGGGGGGGAAUUUGAGAGUUUGUUCUAACAUUCCUAUGGAAAAGAUAAAGACAGAAUUUAAACUAACAUAUACAAGUGAUCAUCUUCAACACACAUCAACCAGAGAUUUCAGAACCAAUCAAACAAGUAUCAACAAGCCUCAACCAUAUAUUCAAGUUCAUCGCCAAGUGAUAUCAAAAACAAACUCGAAACACAAGCCUUAGCGGUCAUGCAUUCCUUUAAUUCUACUUACUUUAUCUCCUAAGCACAGAGAAGUCUAGAACCUAGGAUAUUUCAUGCAAAGGCUGCGAUCGAUACUCCGUGUCACUCAGAAUACCCGUCUACACUAAACAUGAAUCAUUAAGUGUUAUAGAAUUCUGAAUUUGAACAUGCCCAAGUUUACAGGAAGCUGCUUAACCUGCAAACAUGUAACACAUAGUUUCGGCUAUUAUUACAUAACCUUUACUACUGGAGAUCUACACUUACUUGAAGAAGCUUAGUAUAGAUCAUAGCAACACUAACCUGCAGAUUAGAAUUUUAGUUCAAACAAAACUAUGCAUUUAAUGAAAUCAACAAGGCAUAAAACGUAUCACAUGCUAUCAUAGACAAGUUGAAAUAUGCUUGAAUUUAUUCUGAAAAUUAACCUAUUCAUGUUCUUAACAACCAGCCAAUUCCAACUUUGAAAUUUAAUAAAUAACAAGAAAGAAGAAACAAGACAUGAGUUACACUUUAUAAAUCUUCAAGAAAGCUUGAGAUGUUCAAAGGAACACACAGACCUGAUGCUUCUUGGCAGCCUUUUGGAGAAGUCCUACAAAGGUGCUAGCUUGAAUUGCUUCUUUUCUGGAGAGAGGAGUUGAAAAGGAGAAGGAAGGCUAAUGUGUUUCACUGAUUUUUGUGUGAAGAAGAGAUGGUUUGUGAAGUACCCAAGACUGUCUAUAUAUAGAGGAAAUCUUGGUGGAACUUAUCUUCAAAAAUGAUGUAGGACUAGGAGAAAUAUUUGACUUUUCUUCUUUAGGAGCACAUGUUUGAUUUUUCUGCUUCCUUGGACAACUUGGGCCUUCUUUUGGGCUUUCUGCAUUUUUCUCUUCCAUCGUUGGACUUAGGCCUUCUUUUGGGCUUUCUUCUUCCUUCCUUGGACUACAAGAAUGCUUCUCUGUCUUUUUUUGCAUUUUUCUCUUAUUUCCAUCAUUUGGCCUUCUUUUAUUGAUUUAUGCUCUCAUGUCCUUUACAAUAACAAAACAUGUCAGAAAUGGUAAUAUUAUGAGAAUAUCAUAGCUAAAUAGGGUAGAUAACACAUUAUAAACAUAACACUUUGUGCUCAUAUCAGAGAACUACUUUUUUAUAUAGAACUAGUUGUGUCUUUUAGAACUGGUGUCUCUUCAUGUUGGUAGCUCUUCACCAAAGGUUAAGUCUCUUCAAUAAGAGUUACUGAUUUUCUGGUGUUAGUUUAAUUACCAACAAUCACAUAGUUUGAAUUAA
rnacentral:lncRNA from 1 species